rnacentral:tRNA from 1 species
GAUGAGGUGGCUGAGUGGUUAAGGUGAUGAACUGCUAAUCCAUUGGGCUCUGCACAUGUGGGUUCGGAUCCUAUUGUCAGUU